UUGAAAGAGAAAGAGAGAGAUGUCCAACGCAAAGGUUGCUUGUUGGACAGAGAGGGAAAGAGAGAGAGAGAGAGAGAGAGGGAGAGAGAGAGAGAGAUUGCACGCCCUUGAACGAAGAUAGGUAAAUUUGUAGGUUCGUAUUCACCUGACGAAGACGAACGUACGAUAAACAGAGGGAGGCGAAGCUGAAACAAAGAGAGAAGAGGAAGAAGACGAAGAAGAAGAAGGAUGAGAAGAAGGAGGAGGAAAUAGAAGGGGAGAAAUCCUGAAGUGGCUCGGGAUACGAGGACUAUUAGUGUGUGUGAAAGAGAGAGAGAGAGAGAGAGAGAGAAAGAGAGAGAGGGUGAGAGGGAGAAAGAGGGUAAAAGAGGGAGAAAGAACACACGAGGGGCUUGAUUUUCUGGGUGACGCUUGCGCUUCUCUCGCAAACAGUCGCACAGCAUCGCCAUUCCCGAACUGUCGCGGAAAAUGCGCGAGAGGGGUGGUAGCAACAGCAAUCCCCCACCAGAAACGUUUUCGGAUGAACAUAGGAGAGAACCGUAGUGGAGUUCGAGGCCAGCAUUCUCUCGCGAGGGAAGAGUAAGAGGGUAAGCUGCUACGCGAUCGCUUUGGUGGGGGUAAAGUGCGAGCGAGAAAGAGAGAAAGAGAAUCUGGUGGUGUGCGCGUGUGUGUGGACGCGUGUUGCGCCUGUGUCAGAGAGAGAAAGCAGCGCAGAGGAGAAGGGAGACAAGUCGAUCCUUCGGCCGUUGCGGGGUCUCGGGGGUUGAUAUCGAGGGGCAGGGCUAGGUGGGCAAAGACGGAGAGGGCGCAGUGGUCCCGCGACCAUCAAACCAACAACACCGCUCGCUACGCAAAACGGCGCAUCCUGCUGCGCCCCCUUCUUCAUCUUCUUCUUCCUCUUCUCUUCUUCAUCGGCACCUCGUCGUCAUCGUCGUUGAGUCUGGACCUUCUUCUGCUUCCGUUGCUUCUCGUGCUCGCCGCUCGCACAAACGUCUCGGUUCUUUCGAUUCCUACGCUUUCUCUUUCUUUCUCUUUUUCGCCUAUUUAUCUAUCUAUCUAUCUCUCCUUCUAUUUAUUUAUUUCUCUCUCUAUCUCUCUCUCUCUCUCUCUCUCUCUCUCUCUCUCUCUCUUUUUAUCUCUCUCAUCGUUGCUGCAAUCGUCGGACCAAAGGAACAUACAAAUUUCAAGAAUUUGACAAGUCUAAGAAGAAGAGAUCGGCCAGUCGAUCGGAUAAUAUCCAUUGAAAAUUAACAUUAACAAGAGAAAAAAUGAAGAAGACGUUUCGCGAGAAGAUUUAUAUUUUAUCCCUCUUUCUUUUUAUUUUAUCCCCUCUCUCUCUCUCUCUCUCUCUCUCUCUUUUUCUCUCCUUCCUUCCUUCAUUCCUCCAAGUCCUGAUUUACGUUUUAUUCGAAAGGUGAUCGAGAAAAAAGAAAUCAUCGACUGCGUACAAAUAAUGAAGAUCAUCGAAGAAUUCAUCAGAGGAGAUCUUUCUUAAGAUACCAGGUAGAACCAUGCGGUUCGUCGCCCUGGUACCAGAGUUCUCAUGAAUGAAGGAGGGUUCAACAGGAUCGAUGGAGAGGGCGUGUCUUCCUGAAGUGAGGAGAGGAGAGGAGAGGAGAGAAGACCGAAGAAGAGAGAAGGGGAGGGGGUUGGUAUCCGUGACGUUUUCGACCCCACCUGGGAAGGGUACAUGACGGAGUACACGUGCUCGAUUACGUCACGAGAAUCUCGGAGCAGGACGCGAAAGGGCAAAUCCAUUCAAUUCGUUUGUCUUGUAAGGAUUGGUUACGACGUCUUCGACACCUACUUGACUUUAAGUGAAAAGAGUGAGGUAAUUUCUUGCCCACUUCUCUCUCCCCCCCUCUCCCCCCCCUCUCUCUCUCUCUCUGUCUCUGUCUCUCUCUUUCUCUCUUCCUCUUGGUUUAUUUAAUAAUAUUAUAGCUUACCCUUCGAUACGAAAUUAAUAUCGUGACUUUGGUAUUCGAAUUACGCGUCAUCUUUUUCAUUUUCUUGAAGAUAAAUUCUAGAUAUCGAUCCCUUUCUCCCUUUUACAACUUACUGUCUAAUCUUAUAUAAGAGACGUUUAAAUUCCUAAAUAAAUUAAAAACGCGUUUUAAUCAUUGCAAUACCGAUGAUUCCGUCAUACAAACAGGAAAUUUCCAUCCAAAAGGAAGUUUCUCUCGUUCAAUGGAAAAGCAUAUCAAGUUUCGUGAACGAAAAUGCGAUCUGUUAACGAAAAUUUUUUUGAAUUAUCGAUAUCGUUUCGAAUAAGUCUAAGAAAAAUAAUAGGUUUCAUUAUUCAAAAUUUAAUUCUUAUAAUUAUCCUCAUUUCAUCACAUUCGAUUAAAUAUUUUUAUUUCUUUAUUAUUGUUAUAAAAAUUAAUGUAAUAAAAAUUAAUUAAUCCAAAGCUCUCCCUGAGGAAUUGAACAUAUUUUUUUCUUUAUAGUCAUAGUCCAUGCGAGUAUGAAAUUUCUUAAAAAUUCGAGGGACGUCGAUAUUACCAAUAUCGAUACCAUUUCAGAGGUAUUUAAAUAACUCAAUAUUAAAUUCUUCCUAUCUCCUGCUUGUAUGAGAGUCGAACGUUCGCCCAGAGAGGGGAAGGGUGAGCGGGAGAGGGACUGGGGCUGGGGCUGAGACUAGAACUGGAGUGGUAUGGGGUGAAGGGUAGAACAGACGAGAGUUUAAAUCGAUGGACGUAACGCCUCCUAGAAGUAACCGUGACCCACAGUUCUGGGCAGACGAAGUUCCGGCCCGUCGAGGGAAUGUUCCUUUGUGUCGUGGAGCCCAUCCACUCUACUCAUCCCUUCCAACGUCAUUGCCACCACCGUCCUUCUCAUUCCGUUUCUCUCCCUCUCCCUCUCUCUCACCCCCUCUUUUUCCGAAUUAACUUUUCAGUUGAAAUACGUUGUUUUCGAGUAGAUUCUACGUUUUGAACCGAUCUUUCUUCUCGGAUCCCUUUAAAAGAUUCAUCCCUUUCGUAUCAAAGAAAAAGAUAUUUUGAUUUAUUUGUUUUUGACACCGAUCGAAUCAUUUUUAUAUUAUUGUCUAUUACGGUCAUAAAGAUUUUUUUUUAUAAAAAUCCUACCGCCCCCUUAUGUGUUUGUUUUUGAUUUAAUACAAUUGAAAAGCAUAGAUAACCUAUGUCGAACUCGAAAUCAUCGAUCAGAGUCAUCGGCAAUAUUAGUUAUGGUAUCCCAUAUGUUCCUUUUUUAGAUCGUCUGAAAACUGUAGAGGAGGGUGGACUUCUUGAUUAUGCGAAUAUCUACAGACAAUAGAACCCCAACGUCAGCUGCUCCCACCCUCUUCUUUCUCUCUCCACAUCUCCUUCCCUUUCUCAAAUCACCCCUAAACCCCGGGCCAGGAUAGCACGGGGUCGAACACCCUCCGCGAAAUAAGCAAUAAGUUAUGGUGGGACCGACGACCCCCAUCCCCUCCAAUGUCAUCGCUACACCCCUGAUCAUGGGUCCACAAGGGUGAGCGUGUACGAUAUCGUUGCAUAGUAUAGAUCGACCGCUCAUCAAGCUCAGUUCACAUUGCGACGCUCAUCGUAAAACGUAGCUUUCUCUUUCUCUCUCUCUCUCUCUCUCUCUCCCCCGUUCCUCUCUCUCUCUCUCUCUCUCUCUCUCUCUCUCUCUCUCUCUCUCUCUCUCUUCUCUCUCUUUCUCUUUACAUUGUUUUAUAAUUCUUUUUUCUACUUUUCAUUGUGUUUCACCUACUUCUCUAUCUCUGUUAUAUUAAUUACUCUAAGAUUGCACGCGCGCGCGUAAAUUUGUCGAUUCGCUCGCUUGUCACGGAAAGAAUCAAUGUGUCGUGCGGAACUUCGAUAUAACGUCAACGAAACGAUCGCUUCGGAGUGUCGAGAGUGGAGAAGUGCGCGUUUUUAGUUCGCUGUCAUUUUCGUGAAAAUUACGUGCUUCGAGAUCGAAUUCAAUUAUCCGCGAAGAAUAAAUAAAAUAAAAUAAAAUAAAACUGGUGGGUUAUCUCGAAUCGUGUUCGUAAUUGUUAUCGUUGGGAAUCGGUGUGAAAGUAAGUAAGGUGUAACUUUGAAAAUAAUUCGUUGAAUGAGAUUAUACCGCCGUUAGAAUGAGAUUAUACGAACGUGAUUCGUGUUGUUAUCUGGAAUUGCAAAGAUCGAAGAAAUCUAUCGAAUUCGGAAAGCAUCGAAAAACAUUGCGAUACUCGUCGGGAUAAUGUCGAACGAAUAACUUAAUCCGAUUGAUAUAUUGACGUUUUUCUUUUUCGAGUGUACUUUUUAGGAACAUGUCUCUGUGCGAUCCUUCGGACAAGUUUAAGACAAGAGUGCAUCUUCGACGUCAGCAUGAUCGAAAGCCGAGUGAAAAAAAAAAUAAAAAAGAGAGAAGAUUCGUGAGUCUGUGCUCCUUGCGUUCACUGCGGGCUUCCAUGUGCCAACUUUUCAAAAUUCAUAAGGCACGCGGUGAAUGCCAAGAGCGGACCAAAAUCAACAUUGUCUCUGUCCAAUUGGUGUGUCGCCUCGAAGAAGCCUUGUCAAUGUUAGUGACUUGGAAGAAAGCUCGAAGGUUCUCGUCGAGAACACGCCGAUUCAUUGCCAUAUCCUUUUCUUCCUUCUUCCCGUUAAGCGAGGUCAGUACUCACUAUUCGCCGUUCGUCCUUCUUCGUUCUAUCCGUAAAUAUCUUUAUCUUCAUUCUCUUUAUUUCUUACCGAUUCACAAAUUAUGCAGAAAACAUUAAAGAAAUGUCGGAAAGAAAGAAAAGUUGGAAAGGUGAGUGGACAUUUUUCAUAUAUCUUAACUCAUUUCUUUUUCUUUUAAUAGAUUGUCAUAUAUCUGUAUCAUUAUAUUUGUUUGUCCUUAUUAAAUUCCAUUCUAAAUUAUGACGAAUCAUGUAACGAACGAAACUUGCAAUUACGUUUUCUAUAAUAUAAUCGUAGGUAAAAAUAUUACGUCGUCUUUUAGCGCAUUUCUAUAAUAUAAAAAUGCAUUAUCUAUUCGACAACGAUCGAACGUAAGUACGUUUCGCGGACGAGGAAAAAAUAAGAGUUAGAAGAAUCUUAUCCGUUUUUCUUAUGAAAGAAAGAAGUGAAUUGACGGUGGAAGAGAUCCCACCCCGUAUCUCUUCUCUCGAGAGAGUAACACAGCCUCUCCUAUUAUUUUUUUUUUUUUUAAGGAUAAUGCGUAUCUCCUGGCACGGAGUGGCACUUUGAUAGUAACUGCUAGAACUACUCCAUUGGUGGCAGAGUCAUUGAUGGUAUUGGAGAACGACGAGAACGAAGGGAAAGAAAAAGAAACAGAAGAUUACGAAGAAAAAGUAGAAAAGAAGUAGAAGAAAAGAGAGCUAGAAAAGAGGCGAGCUCGCAAUCGUUUUAAGUGUCCCAUCGGACAUGAGUGUAGGAUGGAAGAGAGAAAAAGGGGAUGGAGGUCGGACUUAAAGUACGAACCCCCGUAAUGGAAAUUGGGGAAUUCCCGGGUGUACGACGAAAACGGCCGGUUGUAUCGACCGAGUCGUCGAGCACGAAAUGAGAGAAGUGGGGAGAGCUUAGGGUUGGACGGACGUUGCUUGGCAACCUCCCCCUACUCACAGCAUCCAUCCUGGACCAAGCAUAUUACUACUACUGCUACUACCACCACUAUCAUCACUACUACUACUAUUGCUAUUACUAAUACUACUGCUGCUACUACUACUACUACUACUUCUACUGUUACUAUUAUCGUUACUACUGCUACUGUUACUGUUGCUGUUACUAUUGCUGUUGAAAUUACCAUCACUGGCAACAUCACUGCUACCAACGCCGGUUGGUGUGUUACAUAUAUUCUCGCAGCCAGUCGCAGCCCAACUCUACAUGACGUCGAUGCCUACCACAGUCACGAUCAUGGUCAUUCUCGUCUAGCCUCCUCAAUCUCAUCUUUUUCAUUCUUAAAUUAAUUUCUUUUCCUGCUUUUUUAUCCGACAUAUUUUGCGUAAUUUCAUCCAUUAUUCCAUGACGAUACUCGACCAUUGUCUUUUCCUUUAUGUCCUACUUAUUUUUCAACAAUCGUUCUCUCUAUACUGCGCUGAUACACUUUCCGUGUGCCUCUUAUUAUUGUUCUUUUUUAUUAAAAAUCUUGAAGAUACGAAAAUAGAUAUAUUGUUUCUUUAAAUAUUAUGCUUUGUUCGAUUAACAGCGGUAUGUAAUAAUUAAUAUUUUUGCGACAUAUCAAUACUUUGCUUAAAAUGAUAUUAAUUAAUAUGUAUGAUUGGAAAUUAAUGUGAUAUUGUAAAGAUAAUCAACUUAUUUUAAUAAACGAUCAAUAUUAAUAA